ACUUGGUAGACUGGUUUUAAGCAUGGAAGGAUUUAAAUAGAUCAAACCGGCUUCUCUGUUGAGUGAGAAUUGCAGGAAGCCUUAUUCAGAGGUAAGAGAUGCCGGUGGUUUGGGCAAGGGUGAUGUUGGAGAAAGGUGGGUGGAUUUUAGAGUAAAAUUAUCUCGUGAAUUAAAAUUAUCUAGAAAUGAUGAUGGAUUUGGUUAAGGAAUGAGGGGAAGGUAAGGAGUAAUUUCAAAGGUAAUAAUAAUAGCUAAUAUGGUGCCAGGCAUCAUUCUAAGUCUUUACAUAUAUUAGCUUUACAUAUAUUAGCUCAUUUAAUCCAUGAAGGACAAUGUAUGAUUUUCCUCACUUUAUAAAGGAGUAACUUGAGGCACAAAAAGUUUAAAUACCUUGUCCAAGGUUCCAUAGCACACAGUCUGAGUUGAGAUGUGAACACAGAGCCUGAGGUUCAAGUCCUUUUUCUAAACCAGUGAUUCUCAAAGGAGACAUUGUUGGUUGUCACAGCUGGGGCUGGAGUGCUACUGAUAUCUAGGGAUAGAGGACAGAGAUGCUGCUAAAUAUCCUACAAUGCACAAGAUAGUCCCCACGACAAGAAAUUACCCAGCCCAAAAUGUCAGUAGUGCCCAGGUUGAGAAACCCUGUUGCAAAUUGCUACAUUAUAUUAAUACUACCUACUGAGGGUAGCCGGUAGGCUUCUUAGACAACUGGUUUACCAAUACUGGGCGAAGACCAGUUUGAGGGAGACUGAGUUGCUUUCUGGACACAUCCAGUUGAGGUCCUUUAAGGCACCUAGGAAGAUAGGGCAAGUAAACUGCUGGAUGCUCGCUUGGCUUUGUAAUUCAGAGAGGUCUGGCACUGCUUGGAGUAGGUUUCUAUUCCUGGCAACUGCAUACACCAAAAUAUCUCCUGUAUUUUUAUAGUGUAUUUGUUUGUUUGUUUAUACCCCCACCCUCUUCCAGAAAGGAUGCAAAGCUGCUUAGGAGGAUAAGGAACACGCAAGAGUCUGAUGUAAGUUAAAAGUAGGACAAAGGAACACAUUCACAUAAGGGUGGAGACAUAGGAUGGAGCCAGCAAUGAGGCUAAAAGGAACCCUAAUCCCAUUCCUGGCAGCUGCAGGGCUCUUCUUACAAUCUUACUGGACUCCUUUAUCCCAGUCUCUGCUGAGAUCUCUGCCUCCUCUCCAGGAGAUGAACCCCAAUCCUCACCUCUUGGCUGCCCUGCAGCUGAGAUGAAAACUGAAUGUGCUUACUGUCUUUUAGGUUCCUGGCACCUAGUGGGAGAACAAUACAUAGUUGUAGAGAGAAACUCCAGGGAUGGGGUUGUGAACAAGACCCAAAGCCUCCCCCAUAGAGCUUCCUUUUGAAUGGGGGAGACAAACCAAAAAGGGGAGCAACCGUUGAUAUGAGCAUUCGUGCUUUGUUUUGCUUAUCAGAUAAUUUAAUAGCUAGUUCCAAGGCGUCUUUCAUGCUAUAAAGAAACAAAAAAGGACCCAAGAAAAAAUGAUGAGGAGAAGUAUGGUGGUUGGGGAAGCCUCUGUGAGAAGGUGAUAUGCAAGCUGAGACCUAGAAGAGGAGAAGGGACAGAGUUUCAUAGAGUCGGGUGAAGGCAUUCCAACCAGGAAACAGCGUGGACAGAUAGCCCUGGAUGGGAAACAACUAUGGUCUUUGAGAAACCGGGAAGAGGCCAGCAGGCCUGAAGCAGGAUGAGUGAAGAGAGAGGGUGGGAAAACAGCCAGGACCUUGCAGGCAUAGGAAAGAGUUUGGGUUUUAUUUCAAGUGCAGUAAGGAGCUAUGGAAGGACUACGUGGCAGAGAUCAACAAUUGUCCACAAGUAUCCAUUCUCCCCUUUGUCCUGAUUCAUAAAAUCCACAAGGUUGAACUGGGCAUGUGGCUGCCUGGAAUAAGAACAACUUUUCCCAGCCUCUUUUGCAGAUGUGGUCAUGUGACUUAAGCUCUGGCUGCUAGAAUCCAAGCUGGGGUGGUGUAUGCAACUUCUGAGUAGUAUCUUUGAAAGGGGGAUGUGUGUCCCCACUCCUCCUUGCUGCUAUGUGGGGUAUAGAUUAAAUGGCUGGAACCCCAGCACCAUCUCAGACUCUGAAGUGACCUUGGAAAUAAAAGCCAGGAUUGGAGAUGCCACAAUGUAGACAGAGCCUGGAUUCCUGACUCCGUUGAACUGCCAUAGUCUCAGGUAGCCAGCUGCCAGAUGCUUCUGGGAGGGAGGGAAAAGCAUCUAUCUUGCUGAAGCCACUGUUAGUGUGCAUUUUCUGUCACAGCUAAACCUAAUUCUAACUGAUAAAGGCUUUCAGGAGGAACCACAUGAUUCCGUUUAUCACAUCAGAAGCUCCCUUAGGCCCUUGUGAGGAGCAGAAGAUUGAAAGGGAGUGAGUACAGAGCAGGGAGAUAGGGGCAGAGGCUGCUGCAAUCAUCCAGGCAAAUGAAUGAACAAAUGAAUGAAUGAAUUGUAACCGGACCCAGGUUCAGUUGCUCUCUGCUUGAAAGCCAAAACUCAAGAAAUGAGACUUGGUGGGAGGAAAAACAGGUUUUUCGGGAAGCCAGCAAACGGAGAAAAUGGUAGACUACCAUCCUAAAAUGCCAUCUUAAGUCAGCACAAAUUUCAGGCUUUUUUUUAUGUUAAGGGCAGGGGAAGAAGAGGGAGUUGGGAUCAAGAUGUGACUGAUGACUGCAGACCUCUGGGUGCCAGUGAGGGCCUGAGGAGUUUGGGAACUUCUUUGUCCUUGGUCAGGUCACAAUGCUCCUGUAAAUCUUUAACAAAACACAGUUGUUUACAUACUUUCCCUUUAACCCCAGAGUUAUUUUUUAAAACUACAUAAUUGCUGUUUUUGUGUAUUAUCUAUAUGGAUCUUUAACAAAACAUGAUUGUUUACAUACUUUCCCUAUAACCCCAGAGUUGGCUUUUAAAACUACAUGAUUGCUGUUUUUGUGUAUUAUCUCAGUGCUCUAAAAUUAUCCUAGCCUACACGCGGGCAUGGGUUAAAGCCCCUUACACAAAUACGGUGAGUGUUACAUUCUUUUGCUGUUUCGCUGUUGCUGAAUGAAUGACUGAAUGAAAGCAUCUCCCAAGGCUGCCUGCUUGCUUACCUUCUCACAUGAUGCUUCUUUGCCUCUCUGUUCCUUAAGGAGCUUUCCCUCCCUUCUUUCUUGCCCCACAGUCCCCAAACUCACCAGUGUGGGCAGAAGGAGAAAAGGAAUGUUCUAUCCAGCCCCAUACCCCAGCACCUGCUGGGCAACUUUGUCUUCCCUUCUGCAAAAGAAAAGAAGUCCCCUCAAACACAGGAGAGGAUGGGAAAAGGCAUCUCUCUAAGCAGUAACCCUGGCAGGGCCCUUCAGGAUUCCCAAAUUCCCAAUUUAUAGACAGGGAAACUGAUCCCUAGAGAAGGGAAGGGACUUGCCCAUGUCCACACAGCAUGUUAGUGGGACACAUCAUGAAACAUAAAAGCAGGAAGAGGGUCUAGAAACCAUCUAGCCCUACCCCCUCAUUUAGAGAAAGGAAAACCGAGGCCCAGAGAGGGAGAGUUAGUGACAGAGCCACAACAAGAACUCAGAAGAGGGUCAGCUGGUGUGCAACCAGCUCAGUGACACAAAAGCCUGUGCUAGGGAUUUAAUGUUCUACUGUCGUGUCUUGAAAUUCUUCAUAUCUUAUCUGUAAAUGUGUAGUUUGUAAAUGAAGUCUGUGAGAUAACACAGCAGGCACCCAGGCCAACAGCCUCAGUUCAAGUGCAGUCCGGCCCCUCCCUCACCAGGUGGGUUCUCAGUGCCAGCUUCCCCAACCCCCUGCUAUCUCCUCCUCACAUCCCUUCUUCUCUCUCUUCCCCCCAACAGCUGCCAGUCUGCUAUCUGCAGGGCACUGGCACGGGAGGCUGAGCAUGCACAUCCCACAGCAUUUGGGUAGGACACGACUGCAGCCAUGCCUGCCCUAGAGGUUGAUGACAUCGUGGUGCCUUCAAGGGGGGAAACUGGCAGGGCAAGCCUUUCCCCUAUGCUAGAGCCUCUGACAUGGAGGUUGCAAGAUGUGGGGGUACCUGUCCACCAUGGAUUGGGGUGAAGGGCCUGUGGGAAAGGAGGAUGCCUGGCUUCCCUUCUCCGGGUCCUCUUGCCUCAGUGUAGGGGACCUGGCAGCAGAUGGGCACUGGUGGGCCACACUGCAGGGGAAGGCUCCUGGGUGCCUUGAGGGCCUCCGUGCUCCUCUCCAGUAGCUCCAUGCCCAAGGUAGCAUAGCAUUAAAUAGCAAAUACACAGCACAAGAGGGGCCACAGAAGUGGGGUGGGGCUUUAUGUUUGGGUACCUCUCUCCUGCCUGUGGAACAAAAGGCUUGUGUUUGCAAUGUGCCCUGGGCUGUCACAUUAGGUAGCUGUCCUGACUCAGGACUUCUGUUGCUCUGGCCACCAGCCCCCAGCACUCAGCACCGCUGGACAACACCGGUGUAUUCACGUUCAGUCUAGUGCGUUCCCGGCCCUGUGCUGGGCCUCUUUUCCCUGUUUUCUUGUUUGCAGCCUUGUCGUAACUGAGUGAGGUGUGCACUAUUAUUAGACUCAUUUUACAGGUGAGGAAAGACAGCUGCCCAUAGGCUGAGUUAACUUGUCCACGUCCUCCACCAGGGAAGCAAGAGAGCCAAGCUCCCCACCCAGGUGGCCUGGUGCUCCUGUCCUGGCCCGACAUGCGGGCAGUCGGGCCGUCGGGAAAGGAAAGCGCAGUGUAGAGGAGCUGCUUCUCACCGCCUCUCCUCCCCUCCCCACCUUCCCCGGGAACUCAUGCCCCUCCCCUGCACUCCUGCUCCUUGCCGGCUCGCCCUGGGCCGCUCCGAAGGGAGGAGACCACGUGACCCAGGUCACCGGUAACCAGGCAACCGUUCCAAGACACUGCUUUUCAUCCACUCUGGCUUCUACCUUAUUCAAUAUCUGCCAGGCGGGCAAGGCUCCUGGGAGCAUCCCUGAAGCCAUUUCUCUGGGCCAGGAGCCAGCUGUUCCCAAAAUGGCCACGAUGCCUCAGGAGGGAGGUUGACACCCUGUGCUCUCAGAAGCAGCUCAGAGCUCAGAGGCAGACCUCUACUCAUGCAAUUCUGCCUUCUGUGCAUGCAAUGGAUUGCUGCCAUCUCCAAUCAGCCACAAUGGGAGGCCACCUGCUAGACAUGGAAGAGCCACCGGAUGGAAGAAGCCUGGGUCUCUGAAAUACUGCUUGGAGUAGACUACUCUGCCUGCAAACUAGGAGCACUGAUUUUGGACUUUUUGGGAGGGACUUCUAUGCCCUCUGCAGUUUGCCUCUUCCUCUGCUAUUUUUUCAUGUAUGUGUAUGUUUUUUGCCUGUAUUUGCAAUGCCAGCCAUCAUUUGCCAUGUCUUCUAGCGGCAACCUGCAUUUAGCCCAGAUCUGCUGUGAUUAUUCCUUUUCACAAACCACAAUGACUCUGGAAAACCUGGCUGUAAACACCAGCACUGCCACCAGCUAAGGAUCUGUGAUCAGGAGUGCCAUCUCACGGUAACAGGAAGACAAAAGUGAAACCGGGCUGAUGCGAAUCACUGGGAAACUGGCUUUGGCACCUCCAGAGAAUGAACUGUUUCAUAGCCUAGCUGACCAUCCAUGAAAAUGGCUGCCUGGAGAGGCAGUGAUCAGCCCAUCCCUGCAGGGUGAAGAUAAGCUUGUGCAGGCCACUGGCUAACACAGUUCAUCCCAUGCCUCCUACAUACCAAGCACUGUGCCAGGCACUUUUCACGUCUGGCAUCCUCAGAAUCCUCCAAAAGGAGAGGUUCGUGGAGGAUAAUGCUGUCAGGCUUGGAAGCAGCAGUAGAGAUCACGUUGCCCAGCUCUUGGCAUCAUUGGUUCCCAAAGCUCUGAAUCCCCUGGAGAGCUUUUGUAAAAGGUCGGAUUCAGACAAUCCGGUGGAGCACUCUGAAAUUUAGAGGAAGUGGUCAAAUAGAAUUUUCUGGAAUUAUGGAAAUCUUCUAUUCUGUGCAUCUAGUAUAGUAGAAUCUAGUCACAUGUGGCUUUUGAGAACUGGAAAUAUGGCUAAUGCAACAGAGAAAGUGAAUUUUUACUUUUGAUUCAUUUAAAUAUAAAUGGUCACAUAUGACAUCACUGCCAUAUUGGACAUUGCAGUUCUGGAAGAUGGCAGAUGCAGCCCUCAGAAGAAUUAUCAGCCUGAAUGUCUGGGCGGAGCAGAGCACUACCUUCCCACUCACUCUUCCCCUCCUCUCGCCCCCUCCCCUGCCUCACUUGCAUCAGAUUAUGAUGUGAGCAAAAGCAGGAAACAGCUCUUUUGAUAGGCCUGUGAGACUUGCUGUUCGUUGGAGUAGCUAGGCUGCUCUGACUCAUACAGACCCAAAUCCUGGCAACCACUUUUAUGAAGAAAUGACAAUUCAGUCUACUACUUGUCCAUUUUACAUGCCCAAGGAAUGUGAGGGGCCUCUGCUUGGAUCUAGUUUUCAACCUAGUCUAUGGCAUUGAUUAUCCUUUUAAAAGACAAAAGAGGUGACUUCACGGGCACUUAACAUCUUGGCCAUACUGACCCCAGUUGCACGCUACGUAGGAAGUUUUAGUCCAUUUAAACUGAAGUUCCAAUUUUUUUUUUAACAACUAUUUAAAAAUUGUACAUGUCCCAUACAUGACAGAGAAAGGGUUGUCUGGUUGGAUGAUUUUUGGCUUGCAAAAAGAGAACACAAAAGAAAAGCAUACGUUUUAAUACUCAAGAGACCAAAUUUUCUGCUGAAGAGGAAAUGAACUACAUAUCCAGAAGGGUCCUACCAAGAGGCCAAACAGACUGUGUUCUCUUGGGGGAGUUCUCAGUGGUGAUGAGAACACCACUUUUUUUUUUUUUUUAGUCAUUUUCAAGGUGAGAUAUUGACUUGCUGCUGGAGCAGGACAACUGGUCUCUCUUUCAUUGCUAGCAGCAGAGUAAGGGUCUUGCAAGUUUCAGGCAGCAGCAGAGAAAGGGUCUUGCAAGUUUCAGUCCAAAGCAAGAAGAGCUAGGAUUGCACCAGCUGUCUCACCUACUCUGUGCUCACCUGUUUCUGGAUGAAGCACGGUGACAUCUGUUUUAUUGUAAAGAGAACCAACUUUGGAAUCAAAUGGAACCUGUAUUAAAAUCCUGAAUCCGUCACUAGCUUGGACAAGUCA
rnacentral:lncRNA from 1 species